rnacentral:rRNA from 1 species
CCUACGGGGGGCAGCAGUCGAGAAUUAUUCACAAUGGGGGAAACCCUGAUGGUGCGACGCCGCGUGGGGGAAUGAAGGUCUUCGGAUUGUAAACCCCUGUCAUGUGGGAGCAAAUUAAAAAGAUAGUACCACAAGAGGAAGAGACGGCUAACUCUGUGCCAGCAGCCGCGGUAAUACAGAGGUCUCAAGCGUUGUUCGGAAUCACUGGGCGUAAAGCGUGCGGAGGCUGUUUCGUAAGUCGUGUGUGAAAGGCGCGGGCUCAACCCGCGGACGGCACAUGAUACUGAGGGACUAGAGUAAGGGAGGGGGAACCGGAAUUCUCGGUGUAGCAGUGAAAUGCGUAGAUAUCGAGAGGAACACUCGUGGCGAAGGCGGGUUCCUGGACAUUAACUGACGCUGAGGCACGAAGGCCAGGGGAGCGAAAGGGAUUAGAUACCCUAGUAGUC